rnacentral:lncRNA from 1 species
GAUUGGGAACCAGCUCGUCACCAACAUCGAGGCGGCGAAGAUCGCCAAGAAGGAGGCAGCUCGGGCAGAAGAGGGUCGUCUAGCCGGGGCUGCCCGCCUUGAGGAGAAGAUCACCAAGGUCCUAAGCCUCCAAGAGGCACUGGAAAAGGAGGGACAAACCUCAUCCGAUCUAAGGACCGCCUUGGAGGAGGAGAGAGGGAAGGCUGAGGUCGAGGUCUCC